AGUGAACGUUGGCGGCGUGGAUUAGGCAUGCAAGUCGAGCGAGAACCGUAGCAAUACGGGGACAGCGGCGAAAGGGACAGUAAUGUGUAGGUACCUACCUCCGGGUUCGGGAUAGCUGCGGGAAACUGCAGGUAAUACCGAAUAACGUCUCCGGACCAAAGGUGUGAUUCCACCUGGAGAGGGGCCUGCAUCCUAUUAGCUGGUUGGCGGGGUAACGGCCCACCGAGGCGACGUUGGGUAGCGGGUGUGAGAGCACGACCCGCGUCAUUGGGACUGAGACACUGCCCAGACACCUACGGGUGGCUGCAGUCGUGAAUCUUCGGCAAUGGGCGCAAGCCUGGCCGAGCGACGCCGCGUGCGGGAUGAAGGCCUUCGGGUUGUAAACCGCUGUCGUAGAGGAGGAAAUGCAGGGGGGUUCUCCCCUCUGUUUGACCUAUUCUAGGAGGAAGUACGGGCUAAGUUCGUGCCAGCAGCCGCCGUAA
rnacentral:rRNA from 1 species